rnacentral:rRNA from 1 species
UACGAAGGGGGCUAGCGUUGUUCGGAAUCACUGGGCGUAAAGGGCGCGUAGGCGGAUUGUUAAGUCAGGGGGUGAAAUCCUGGAGCUCAACUCCAGAACUGCCUUUUGAUACUGGCGAUCUUGAGUCCGGGGAGAGGUGAGUGGAACUGCGAGUGUAGAGGUGAAAUUCGUAGAUAUUCGCAAGAACACCCGUGGCGAAGGCGGCUCUCUGGGACGGUACUGGACGCUGA